CAGCCCGGUAAUUCCAGCUCCAAUAGCGUAUAUUAAAGUUGUUGCAGUUAAAAAGCUCGUAGUUGAAUUUCGGGAUUGACGUGAUGGUCAUGCCUUAAGGGGUAUGAACUGUUACUGUUGAUUUCUCACCUUCUGGAGAAACUUGAUGUCCUUUAUUGGGUGUCUUGCGGAUCCAGGACCUUUACCUUGAAAAAAUUAGAGUGUUUAAAGCAGGCAUUUUUGCUCGAAUACAUUAGCAUGGAAUAAUAGAAUAGGACGGCAUGGUUCUAUUUUGUUGGUUUCUAGGAUCACCGUAAUGAUUAAUAGGGAUAGUUGGGGGCAUUAGUAUUCAAUUGUCAGAGGUGAAAUUCUUGGAUUUAUUGAAGACUAACUACUGCGAAAGCAUUUGCCAAGGAUGUUUUCAUUAAUCAAGAACGAAAGUUAGGGGAUCGAAGACGAUCAGAUACCGUCGUAGUCUUAACCAUAAACUAUGCCGACUAGGAAUCAGACGAUGUUAAUUUUUUAAUGACUCGUUUGGCACCUUACG
rnacentral:misc_RNA from 1 species